rnacentral:rRNA from 1 species
GACGAACGCUGGCGGCGUGCUUAACACAUGCAAGUCGAACGAAGAGCGAUGGAAGCUUGCUUCUCUCAAUCUUAGUGGCGAACGGGUGAGUAACGCGUAAUCAACCUGCCCUUCAGAGGGGGACAACAGUUGGAAACGACUGCUAAUACCGCAUACGAUCUAAUCUCGGCAUCGAGGAUAGAUGAAAGGUGGCCUCUACAUGUAAGCUCUCACUGAAGGAGGGGAUUGCGUCUGAUUAGCUAGUUGGAGGGGUAACGGCCCACCAAGGCGAUGAUCAGUAGCCGGUCUGAGAGGAUGAACGGCCACAUUGGGACUGAGACACGGCCCAGACGCCUACGGGAGGCAGCAGUGGGGAAUCUUCCGCAAUGGACGAAAGUCUGACGGAGCAACGCCGCGUGAGUGAUGACGGCCGUCGGGUUGUAAAGCUCUGUUAAUCGGGACGAAAGGCCUUCUUGCGAAUAGUGAGAAGGAUUGACGGUACCGGAAUAGAAAGCCACGGCUAACUACGUG